rnacentral:lncRNA from 1 species
CAGGCGCCCCGAGCGCCGCGGCCGGAAGCCGCCGGGGAAGGCAGGCRCGCGGCUCGCCAGGCACCAGCUGCCGCGAGCAGCACCCCGUCCCACUCCCCGGCUGCCGCUACAGCUGGGUGGCAGGAGGCAAAAGCAAAGCAAUGAGCAACAAAACAGAAGAAAAGGGAACUAAGGACUGCUAAUCAAAAAAAUAAGAGAAGGAAGAAAGAAGCAAAAGGAGCGAGCUCCUGCUUCGCCUCCACUCCUAGCAGUCCGAGGUAGCGGACAAGACUACUUCUACACACGUGAAGAACGAGAGGAACGAAGUGCCGGGGAGCUGUGUAGCAGCUACUGCAGCAGAAGAUGAAAACAUAAUGCUAUCAGAAGAAAAUUAUGUUACUAAGACUUUAUUAAAACCACAGAACAUCGCUCUCAGAAAAUGACAUUCUUCUUGACUUGGUGACAUCUUAAGCAAGCUAUGUACUAUUAUGCCACAGGAUUGGCAUCUGAGAGCACACAGUGAGAGUUUGCCAAGGAUAAGAUGAAAUGCAAUCUGGGACACCGAGCAAAAGGCUCAUCGCAUAUGCCACUACCCCGAUGAGCUGGUAACUUGCUACAUGCUCACAGCUGAUCUGGAAGGAUUUGUAAUGUCACAUGAACUGCCAAUGCACUGAAGUUAUGUUAACGAUCUGGAAGACAUGGAUACACAUUCUUUCCCUUGGGAUGUUUUGGUUGAAGUACCCACUGCUACUAAGCCUGCUGAGCUGUUCCCAAGAAUGGGGAGCGGGUGGAAGGAUGGAGAGGACAUUACAACUUCUUGUAACAACAUCUUGUAGAAGAAGAAACUCCACCAUUAACAUGCUUUAGGAGGGACUUGAGGUUGUCACUUUGUAUGAGAAAUGAUGAAGACUGUCUGUGAAGGCAACAUAACUAACAGAACCAAUAUACAGUAGUUACCAGUAAAACUCACAAAACCAUUAAAAAUUGRGCUCCCAGACUUGUACUGUUUACUUUACAGGGAUGGAAGAGGAAGGAAGCAAAUAAAUCCAAAGUCACAAAGCA